ACGACUCUCGGCAACGGAUAUCUCGGCUCUCGCAUCGAUGAAGAACGUAGCAAGAUGCGAUACUUGGUGUGAAUUGCAGAAUCCCGUGAACCAUCGAGUCUUUGAACGCAAGUUGCGCCCGAAGCCUUUCGGCGGAGGGCACGUCUGCCUGGGUGUCGAA
rnacentral:rRNA from 3 species